UACGUAGGGGGCUAGCGUUGUCCGGAUUUAUUGGGCGUAAAGAGCGUGUAGGCGGCCAGGUAGGUCUGGUGUGAAAACUCGAGGCUUAACCUCGAGAUGUCAUCGGAAACCAUUUGGCUAGAGUCCGGAAGAGGAGAGUGGAAUUCCUGGUGUAGCGGUGAAAUGCGCAGAUAUCAGGAAGAACACCCGUGGCUAAGGCGGUUCUCUAGUACGGUACUGACGCUGAGACGCGAAAGCGUGGGGAGCGAACAGG
rnacentral:rRNA from 1 species